rnacentral:rRNA from 1 species
CACGUAGGGCGCGAGCGUUGUCCGGAAUUAUUGGGCGUAAAGAGCUCGUAGGCGGCCUGUUGCGUCCGCUGUGAAAGCCCCGGGGCUUAACCCCGGGUCUGCAGUGGAUACGGGCAGGCUAGAGGUAGGUAGGGGAGAAUGGAAUUCCCGGUGUAGCGGUGAAAUGCGCAGAUAUCGGGAGGAACACCGGUGGCGAAGGCGGUUCUCUCGGGCCGUUACCCUGACGCUGAGGAGCGAAAGCGGUGGGGAGCGAAACCAGGGGAUUAGAA